rnacentral:lncRNA from 1 species
GAUAAUCGGCUUACCUUAUCGGCGAUAGUCGCCGGAGUUGCUCGGAGACGGAGAGAAGGACGAAGACGCUAUCUCGAUCGGGCUGAAGUCCCAGCCUCGCCGUGAUUUUUGCGCUCACCAGAAGCAGAAACGGGGAGAAGGGAAAGGAAGGCCGGGUUGCUGCGGCAAGGAGUCGACGGCGAGGAGAUGAGAUCGAUCGGCUCUGGUGGCUGGAAACGGGAAGGGAAAGAGGAGGAGGAGGUUGCGCGCUGGCACUAGCGCAAGGAAGGAGAAGGAAAAAGAAAAA